UACGUAGGGGGCAAGCGUUGUCCGGAAUCAUUGGGCGUAAAGAGCGCGUAGGCGGUCCGGUAAGUCCGCUCUGAAAGUCCGGGGCUCAACCCCGGGAGGCGGGCGGAUACUGUCGGGCUAGAGUCCGGAAGAGGCGAGUGGAAUUCCUGGUGUAGCGGUGAAAUGCGUAGAUAUCGUCUGGAACGCCAAAGGUGAAAACAGACUGCUGGGAGUGUGCUGACGCUGAGACACGAAAGCCAGGGGAGCAAACGGG
rnacentral:rRNA from 1 species